rnacentral:rRNA from 1 species
AAAGAUUAAGCCAUGCAUGUCUAAGCACAUGCCUUAAUACGGUGAAGCCGCGAAUAGCUCAUUACAACAGCCACCGUUUACUAGAAUAUAGUUAUCCUACUUGGAUAACUGUGGCAAUUCUAGAGCUAAUACAUGCAAAAAAGCUCUGCCCGCAAGGAACGAGCGCAUUUAUUAGAAUAAAAACCAAUCGGGUUUCGGCCCGUAAUUUGGUGAAUCUGGAUAACUUUGCCAAUCGCACAGUCCUAGUACUGGCGAUGUAUCUUUCAAGUGUCUGCCUUAUCAACUUUCGAUGGUAGGUUAUACGCCUACCAUGGUAGUAACGGGUAACGGAGAAUAAGGGUCCGACUCCGGAGAGGGAGCCUGAGAAACGGCUACCACAUCCAAGGAAGGCAGCAGGCGCGCAAAUUACCCACUUCCAGAACGGAGAGGUAGUGACGAAAAAUAACGAGACAGUCCUCUUCGAGGUCUGUCAUCGGAAUGGGUACAAUUUAAAUCCUUUAACGAGGAUCUAUUGGAGGGCAAGUCUGGUGCCAGCAGCCGCGGUAAUUCCAGCUCCAAUAGCGUAUAUUAAAGUUGUUGCGGUUAAAACGCUCGUAGUUGGAUCUGCGGCCUCGGAGAACGGUCCCCCGAAAGGGUGGUCACUGUCUCUCCUAGCCUAAAUUCGAGUCGUCUCUAGGUGCUCUUUACCGGGUGCUUAGAGUGACUAGAACGUUUACUUUGAAAAAAUUAGAGUGCUUAAAGCAGGCGAAAUAGCCUGAAUAAGGUGCAUGGAAUAAUGGAAUAGGACCUCGGUUCUAUUUUGUUGGUUUUCGGAGCCUGAGGUAAUGAUUAAGAGGAACAGACGGGGGCAUUCGUAUUUCGGCGCUAGAGGUGAAAUUCUUGGACCGCCGAAAGACGAACGACUGCGAAAGCAUUUGCCAAGAAUG